GUGACCAAGCUAUUUUAGCAACUAAUAUGAUCGAGUGGGGUUAUUUCUGAUCCCAUUGACUUUAUAUUAGAAUACGUCUAUAUAAAUGAUUGCUUUAGGGUUCUUCAUAUUUAUUUCACCCUCUAAUAUAUUUAUCCAUCAUCCUUUACAUCCUCACUCUGGGCAUCAAGAAUCAAUCUCAAUGCUUGUGCAGCUGAUCGGAAGGGCACA